rnacentral:rRNA from 1 species
UACGUAGGUCCCGAGCGUUGUCCGGAUUUAUUGGGCGUAAAGCGAGCGCAGGUGGUUUAAUAAGUCUGAUGUAAAAGGCAGUGGCUCAACCAGUGUGUGCAUUGGAAACUGUUAGACUUGAGUGCAGUAGAGGAGAGUGGAAUUCCAUGUGUAGCGGUGAAAUGCGUAGAUAUAUGGAGGAACACCGGUGGCGAAAGCGGCUCUCUGGACUGUAACUGACACUGAGGCUCGAAAGCGUGGGUAGCAAACAGG